rnacentral:rRNA from 1 species
UACGGAGGGGGCUAGCGUUGUUCGGAAUUACUGGGCGUAAAGCGCACGUAGGCGGCUUUUGUAAGUUAGAGGUGAAAGCCCCGGGGGCUCAACUCCGGAAUUGCCUUUAAGACUGCAUCGCUAGAAUUGUGGAGAGGUAAGUGGAAUUCCGAGUGUAGAGGUGAAAUUCGUAGAUAUUCGGAAGAACACCAGUGGCGAAGGCGACUUACUGGACACAUAUUGACGCUGAGGUGCGAAAGCGUGGGGAGCAAACAGG